GUUCUGGGCUUCUGGCUGCAUUCUAGGAAGAUCAUUCCUUAAAAGAAAUAGCCAUAUGGCUUAUAAGACAUGGAAUAAACUUGACAAGUGCUAAAGAUGCUCUUUGAUUUUUGUGUGGCAUGAGACCUCAGGCUGAAACUUCUCAUCUGAGCCAUUGAAGGGAGCCUCUCAUCUCUCCACCGAGAGGGGAGACCAGAAUGGCUCCUUCAGGCACAUUCUGUUGGGCUUCCCUCUACCUCCCCACUCUGCUGCUUCCCCGCUCUUUUUGAAUUUCUCCCUGUUGAGGAGAGGGAAGACCAGCUAGGAGAGGAUCUGGAUUGAGAAACUUGCCAUGCUUUUCUCUCAGAUGUUCUCUUUUCUCUGAAGACAGCAGGACCUCAUCCAAAGCUCUGUUUCUGGCAGGAAUCUGACACCACUUACUCCUUGGGUAGAAACUCCCCCAAGUCUGAACUAUGUGAUUGCCUGAGCCCUGCUUCUUGUUCAUUAAGACUGCUCCUCUGAAACGGAAUUGAUGAAUUUUUAGUGGCUAUUAGAAGCAUUUGGGAUCCAUAGGCAUCAGGGUUUGAUGCAUGGCCCUCAUCUCUGUGGGCUCCUGUGCAAUGAUUCUCAUCUGUCUUAGUUAGAAAGU
ensembl:lncRNA DARS1-AS1 DARS1 antisense RNA 1